UACAGAGGGGGCAAGCGUUAUUCGGAAUUAUUGGGGGUAAAGGGCGCGUAGGCGGCUUGGCAAGUGGAAGGUGAAAUCCCUCGGCUUAACCGAGGAACUGCCCUCCAAACUGCUUCGCUUGAGACCGGGAGAGGUGAGUGGAAUUCCCAGUGUAGCGGUGAAAUGCGUAGAUAUUGGGAGGAACACCAGUGGCGAAGGCGGCUCACUGGACCGGUACUGACGCUGAUGCGCGAAAGCGUGGGGAGCAAACGGG
rnacentral:rRNA from 1 species